GACGAACGCUGGCGGCGUGCUUAACACAUGCAAGUCGAACGGAAAGGCCCUGCUUUUGUGGGGUGCUCGAGUGGCGAACGGGUGAGUAACACGUGAGUAACCUGCCCUUGACUUUGGGAUAACUUCAGGAAACGGGGGCUAAUACCGGAUAGGAGCUCCUGCUGCAUGGUGGGGGUUGGAAAGUUUCGGCGGGUGGGGAUGGACUCGCGGCUUAUCAGCUUGUUGGGGGGGUAGUGGCUUACCAAGGCUUUGACGGGUAGCCGGCCUGAGAGGGUGACCGGCCACAUUGGGACUGAGAUACGGCCCAGACUCCUACGGGAGGCAGCAGUGGGGAAUAUUGCACAAUGGGCGGAAGCCUGAUGCAGCAACGCCGCGUGCGGGAUGACGGCCUUCGGGUUGUAAACCGCUUUCGCCUGUGACGAAGCGUGAGUGACGGUAAUGGGUAAAGAAGCACCGGCUAACUACGU
rnacentral:rRNA from 1 species